GACGAACGCUGGCGGCGUGCUUAACACAUGCAAGUCGAACGGAAAGGCCCUGCUUUUGUGGGGUGCUCGAGUGGCGAACGGGUGAGUAACACGUGAGUAACCUGCCCUUGACUUUGGGAUAACUUCAGGAAACUGGGGCUAAUACCGGAUAGGAGCUCCUGCUGCAUGGUGGGGGUUGGAAAGUUUCGGCGGGUGGGGAUGGACUCGCGGCUUAUCAGCUUGUUGGUGGGGUAGUGGCUUACCAAGGCUUUGACGGGUAGCCGGCCUGAGAGGGUGACCGGCCACAUGGGGACUGAGAUACGGACCAGACUGCUACGGGAGGCAGCAGUGGGGAAUAUUGCACAAUGGGCGGAAGCCUGAUGCAGCAACGCCGCGUGCGGGAUGACGGCCUUCGGGUUGUAAACCGCUUUCGCCUGUGACGAAGCGGGAGUGACGGUAAUGGGUAAAGAAGCACCGGCUAACUACGUG
rnacentral:rRNA from 1 species